GGCUUUACGGCGAGGACAUUGCGUGUCUUAGCUGGGAGCAGAGGAAGACUCGCCUAGAGGAGUGUUUAAUCCAGAGUUGGCAGAACAGAUGGGACGAUGACAGCGAACCAGGACGGGUGACGCAUAGGUUUAUCCCAUACGUUACUCUUGCCUAUCGGGAUCCAAGUUUUGGAUUCUCGAUGAGGACGUCUUUCCUGCUUACAGGGCACGGGUCGUUCAAUGCAUUUUUGCAUGGGAGAGCCCUCAGCGAUACCACUGCUUGCGCAUGUGGAGAUCCAUAUGAGGACUGGAUGCAUAUCUUGUGCGCUUGCCCCCUAUAUGCAGAUCUGCGGGACCUAGAUGGACUUGGAGUGCAGCGCCUUGGCGAAAACUGGAUCUUCGAGGGAAUCCUGGAUGAUCAAGAGAAGACUCAACGGCUGGCAAUGUUUGCGGAAGAAGUGUUCCUGAGGAGGAGGGGCGUUUAGCUCAGCAUCUCUGCCGUGUGGUUAGCGGGCGAGAAUACUACCACAGUCCGCUGUUGCUUGUCGUAAGAGACGACUAAUACAGCGAUAGGAUUCCUCUAACCCUGCUUGUCGGAGCAAAAGGGGGAGGCCCACCGAGCCUCUUUUCGGUACCACGGGUUGAGCAGCUAUCCAAGACUGCUCAUUGAGGUAGGCCCCCUGGUGGGAGUAUCGUGGUGGCUGUGGUUGGUACCCAUAUCGCGGGUAGAGCCUUCAUGCUCGACGUUUGAGUUACGGUGCUAGUUGCGCAAAACUCGGGUGCUGUGACCCAGAGAUCAGUAGAGAUUUUAGGUAGAUCUCGCUCCUCAGCAAGGGGGAGUGCUUGCCCGGCAAGCAAGUACUCGAAUUGCUACCGGGGUGGUCGCUAUGUACAUAGCUAUAGCUUCUAGUCCGGGACGCUUGUCUGGCGUAUCCAGACACAUGCACCAUAUGCUCACUUGUGGGUGUAUAGGGUGCCGUGGUUGUAAUCCCUUCAGUGUGGAACACGCCACGUAAAAUAAGUUCGGAGGGAUCCGAAAAGCAUACAUUGUCCCUAUCUACUCUGUCGUGUGGUUAGCGGGCGAGAAUACUACCACAGUCCGCUGUUGCUUGUCGUAAGAGACGACUAAUACAGCGAUAGGAUUCCUCUAACCCUGCUUGUCGGAGCAAAAGGGGGAGGCCCACCGAGCCUCUUUUCGGUACCACGGGUUGAGCAGCUAUCCAAGACUGCUCAUUGAGGUAGGCCCCCUGGUGGGAGUAUCGUGGUGGCUGUGGUUGGUACCCAUAUCGCGGGUAGAGCCUUCAUGCUCGACGUUUGAGUUACGGUGCUAGUUGCGCAAAACUCGGGUGCUGUGACCCAGAGAUCAGUAGAGAUUUUAGGUAGAUCUCGCUCCUCAGCAAGGGGGAGUGCUUGCCCGGCAAGCAAGUACUCGAAUUGCUACCGGGGUGGUCGCUAUGUACAUAGCUAUAGCUUCUAGUCCGGGACGCUUGUCUGGCGUAUCCAGACACAUGCACCAUAUGCUCACUUGUGGGUGUAUAGGGUGCCGUGGUUGUAAUCCCUUCAGUGUGGAACACGCCACGUAAAAUAAGUUCGGAGGGAUCCGAAAAGCAUACAUUGUCCCUAUCUACUAUCUAGCGAAACCACAGCCAAGGGAACGGGCUUGGAAUAAUUAGCGGGGAAAGAAGACCCUUUUGAGCUUGACUCUAAUCUGGCAGUGUAAGGAGACAUAAGAGGUGUAGAAUAAGUGGGAGAUAUUAGACCUCGGUUUGGUAUCGUCAAUGAAAUACCACUACUCUUAUUGUUUCCUUACUUACUUGAUUAAAUGGAACGUGUAUCAUUUCCUAGCCAUUAUACGGAUAUAUUUAUUAUAUCUUAUGGUAUUGGGUUUUGAUGCAAGCUUCUUGAUCAAAGUAUCACGAGUUUGUUAUAUAAUCGCAAACAAAUUCUUUAAUAAAACGAUGCAUUUAUGUAUUUUUGAUUUGAAAAUUUGGUAUAACUCCAAUUACUCAGGUAUGAUCCAAUUCAAGGACAUUGCCAGGUAGGGAGUUUGACUGGGGCGGUACAUCUCUCAAAUAAUAACGGAGGUGUCCCAAGGCCAGCUCAGUGCGGACAGAAACCACACAUAGAGCAAAAGGGCAAAUGCUGACUUGAUCUCGGUGUUCAGUACACACAGGGACAGCAAAAGCUCGGCCUAUCGAUCCUUUUGGUUUAAAGAGUUUUUAACAAGAGGUGUCAGAAAAGUUACCAUAGGGAUAACUGGCUUGUGGCGGCCAAGCGUUCAUAGCGACGUCGCUUUUUGAUCCUUCGAUGUCGGCUCUUCCUAUCAUUGUGAAGCAAAAUUCACCAAGCGUUGGAUUGUUCACCCAUGCAAGGGAACGUGAGCUGGGUUUAGACCGUCGUGAGACAGGUUAGUUUUACCCUACUAAUGACAAAACGUUGUUGCGACAGCAUUCCUGCGUAGUACGAGAGGAACCGCAGGUACGGACCAAUGGCACAAUACUUGUUCGAGCGAACAGUGGUAUGACGCUACGUCCGUUGGAUUAUGCCUGAACGCCUCUAAGGUCGUAUCCGUGCUGGACUGCAAUGAUAAAUAAGGGGCAAUUUGCAUUGUAUGGCUUCUAAACCAUUUAAAGUUUAUAAUUUACUUUAUAAACGACAAUGGAUGUGAUGCCAAUGUAAUUUGUAACAUAGUAAAUUGGGAGGAUCUUCGAUCACCUGAUGCCGCGCUAGUUACAUAUAAAAGCAUUAUUU
rnacentral:rRNA from 1 species